UACAAAAAUACUAUUCUUAUACUUUAGGGCCAUAAUAUUAUUGUUGUUUCCAAUCAUUAUUAUUCCCUUAAUGCUGCAUAAAAUAUCUGCUUUAGUGUCAAUUUAAUAUCUUCAAAGGCUAAAGCUAAUGAGAAUUUAUGAUGGAAUUUAUAUGAAAAUAAUACUAGUUACAACCGCUACCGUAAUUUUGGCAACAAUGUUGAGGGUGGCUAUUCGCAUAAAAGGCCUUUGUAAAUGUGAAAACUCAGAGUUUUUAUCGUAAUUUUAUGUCGUUAGGGACCUACUACCUUCUAUAAAGACGUAAUGAACCUUAUAAAAUCAGGAAAUGUACUACAAAACCGACGAACGUCACGAUAAGUAGUAAAGCCCAGGAGAAAAUUCAACAUAAAUAGUUAUGCCAUUUUAGGGUUGUGUUGUGACAUUUCUGGUAACCGAAUCUUCGAUUCGAGUCUGAAGGUGAGUCGAGUCACCUCUGUAUUUGAGUUGUGUAUUAAGAAUAUUUUGGAUUUAAAGGUAUUCGAAAUGGAUGAAAAUUCAUAAAAAUAAUAUGAUUUU